AUACUUACCUGGCAGGGGAGACACCAUGAUCAAGAAGGUGGUUCACCAUUGGCGAGGCUUAGCCAUUGCACUUCGGCUAGGUUGACCUAAUUGAAUUCCCCAAAUGUGGGAAUCUCAACUGCAUAAUUUGUGGUAGUGGGGGACUGCGUCCGCGCUCUCCACUA